CAUUUUUAUUCCAUGACUUUUAUGUGCAGAGACAUGGCACAGCCAUUGGGACCAAUGUGAAGAAUGCUAUGUGGCAGAAUCUGAUGAAUGACAUGUCUACUGCUCUGUCCAGGAGGAGAGGCUCAGACAAACUCUACCGCUGUGCCUGGCUGGGGUGUGGCCCUUCUGGUGUUAACAUCUCUGAUCCUGGCUUCCAUGCUGGCUAGCUUGUGCUGUGUGCCUUUGAUGUGCAAGAGUCACGGAGGAGACAGUCAUUGUGGAUUUUCACUUGGAAAGUAACAGGCAAAGGAAACCUUGAAAGUAUUCUCUGCUAUCUCAUCUUGGUCUUUUUAGAUGCGAGUCUAUUUCUCAUCCUUGUCCCCUAAGUUCUAUGUCUGGAUUUCUGUUUUCUGGAUCAGUAGUUGUUGAAUAUCAAUAAUCUUGAUACCUGGAACCCCAGCUAUAUGGAGCCCGCCCAAUGUCUUCAGGACCAGGGUCUCAACUAUCUCUGGUCCCACAUAUGAACUCUACCCUACUCCCAACCUCUUUCAUACAGUAUUGUUUUCCCAAUUCCUAGUAAAAUAUCAUUACUGGCAUGUGUACCAUUGGUUUCAAGGUGAACGCCAUGCAUGUUGUAUUUUAUUAUUUAUUGGAAUCUU